CUCGUAGUUGGAUCUCGGUGCCGGUCUGGCGGUCCGCCUCGCCGCGGUCUCACUGCCAGUCCCGGAGCCAUCCCGCCGGCCUUCCCUCGGUGCUCUUUACCGAGUGUCUUGGGUGACCGGAACGUUUACUUUGAACAAAUUAGAGUGCUCCAAGCAGGCGCGUCCCGCCCGCAUAGCCCAGCAUGGAAUAAUGGAAUAGGACCUCGGUUCUAUUUUGUUGGUUUUCGGAACCCGAGGUAAUGAUUAAUAGGGACAGACGGGGGCAUUCGUAUUGCGACGCUAGAGGUGAAAUUCUUGGACCGUCGCAAGACGAACUACUGCGAAAGCAUUUGCCAAGAAUGUUUUCAUUAAUCAAGAACGAAAGUUAUAGGUUCGAAAGCGAUCAAAUACCGCCCUAGUUCUAACCAUAAACGAUGCCGACCAGCGAUCCGCCGGAGUUCCUCCGAUGACUCGGCGGGCAGCUUCCGGGAAACCAAAGUGUUUGGGUUCCGGGGGA
rnacentral:rRNA from 1 species